rnacentral:rRNA from 1 species
CCGCGAGGGAACGGUGAAAAGUACUCUUGUAAAGAGUGUUAAAAGUACCUGAAACCGUACACUUACAAGCUGUCGGAGCCCGCAAGGGUGACGGCGUGCCUAUUGCAUAAUGAGUCCGCGAGUUGAUGAAUACGGCAAGGGUAAGCGGUUAUGCCGCGCACCCGAAGCGAAAGCGAGUGUGAAUAGCGCGUUGAGUCGUAUUUAUCGGACCCGAAGCCGAAGUGAUCUAUCCAUGAGCAGGUUGAAGCGGAAGUAACAUUCCGUGGAGGACCGAACCAAUGUAAGUUGAAAAUUACUUGGAUGACUUGUGGAUAGGAGUGAAAGGCUAGUCAAACUCGGUUAUAUCUGGUUCUCUCUGAAAUGCCUUUAGGGGCAGCGUCAUGUUAGAAGCCAUCGGGGGUAAAGCACUCUUUAGAAACGGGGGAGUAAAAUCCUACUUAUUCUUAAGAAACUCUGAAUACCGAUGGUGAAUUCAUGGCAGUGGGACUGCGGGGGAUAAGCUUCGUGGUCAAAAGGGAAACAGCCCGAACCGCCAGUUAAGGUCCCUAAUCAACGUUAAGUUACUAAGGAACUGAAUGUCCUAAGACAGCCAGGAUGUUGGCUUAGAAGCAGCCACCAUUUAAAAAGUGCGUAACAGCUUACUGGUCGAGGGUGUUUGGGCCGAAAAUGAACGGGAAUAAACGUUGAACCGAAGCUGCGGGUCGUAGAGCCAUGGGCGCUCUACGGCGGUAAGAGAGCGUUGGCGACAGCGUCGAAGGAGAGACGAAAGUCGAUCUGGAGCGUCGUCAAGUGAUCAUGCGGAAAUGAGUAGCGACAAAGAGGAUGAGAAUUCCUCUCCCCGAAAUCCCAAGGUUUCCGACGCAAGGCAACUCCGCGUCAGGGUUAGGCGGGACCUAAGGCGAGGCCGAAAGGCGUAGUCGAUGGACAGCAGGGUUAAUAUUCCCUCUCCGCCGCUGGAUUAUGAAGCACACGGGACGCCCCCAAUAUAUGCCUGAAGCCAUUGACUGGCUAGAGCAAUCGCUCGUUGGAUAAUUGAUGGGGGACUAGAAAAUCGUGUUGUGGAAUCCAGUCGGCGCCCGUACCGUAAACCGACACAGGUGGGAUGGUAGAGUAUACCAAGGGGCUCGAGAUAACUAACCUGAAGGAACUCGGCAACUUUGUCCCGUACGUUCGCAAAAAGGGACACCUGUUUCUCAGGGUCUUCGGACACAAGAAACAGGUCGCAGAGAAAUGGGAGAAGCGACUGUUUAUUAAAAACACAGGGCUAUGCUAACUCAAAAAGAGGAUGUAUAUAGCCUGACGCCUGCUCUGUGCCGGUCUGUGAAGGCAAGGGGUCAGCUCACGCGAAGCUCUGAACCUAAGCUCCGGUUAACGGCGGCCGUAACCUUGACGGUCCUAAGGUAGCGAAAUUCCUUGUCGGGUAAGUUCCGACCUGCAUGAAUGGCGUAACGACUUCUUCGGUGUCUCCAGGAUAGACUCGGCGAAAUUGAAGUUGUGGUGAAGAUACCACAUUCCCGUGGCUAGACGGAAAGACCCCGUGCACCUUUACUGUAAGCUGAUAUUGGGUUUUUGUUCAUGAUGCGUAGGAUAGCUGGGAGGCUUUGAGGCUUGGAUUUCGGUCCGAGCGGAGCCGUCGUUGGAAUACCAGCCUUUAUGCUCAAAAAUUCUAACUGCGUGCCGUUCAUCCGGGCGCAAGACAGUGUCAGCCGGGCAGUUUGACUGGGGCGGUCUCCUCCCAAAGAGUAACGGAGGAGCGCAAUGGUUCCCUCAUCACGGUUGGCAAUCGUGAGUUGAGUGUAAACGUAUAAGGGAGCUUGACUGCGAGACACAAGUGUCGAGCAGAGACGAAAGUCGGUGUUAAUGAUCCAGCGGUCCCGAGUGGAAGGGCCGUUGCUCAUCUGAUAAAAGGUACGCCGGGGAUAACAGGCUGAUCUCUCCCAAGAGUCCAUAUCGACGGGGAGGUUUGGCACCUCGAUGUCGACUCAUCGCAUCCUGGGGCUGUAUA